GCCCGGGUGGUCUAGUUGGCUAUGAUUCUCGCUUAGGGAAAAACCUAAGCUCAAAUGCGAGAGGUCCCGCGUUCGAAUCGCGGCUCGGGCC